AGUCGAACGGAGUCAAGAGGAGCUUGCUUUUCUUGACUUAGUGGCGAACGGGUGAGUAACGCGUGAGUAACCUGCCCUGGAGUGGGGGACAACAGUUGGAAACGACUGCUAAUACCGCAUAAGCCCACGGAUCCGCAUGGAUCUGCGGGAAAAGGAUUUAUUCGCUUCAGGAUGGACUCGCGUCCAAUUAGCUAGUUGGUGAGGUAACGGCCCACCAAGGCGACGAUUGGUAGCCGGACUGAGAGGUUGAACGGCCACAUUGGGACUGAGACACGGCCCAGACUCCUACGGGAGGCAGCAGUGGGGGAUAUUGCACAAUGGGGGAAACCCUGAUGCAGCGACGCCGCGUGGAGGAAGAAGGUUUUCGGAUUGUAAACUCCUGUCGUUAGGGACGAUAAUGACGGUACCUAACAAGAAAGCACCGGCUAACUACGUGCCAGCAGCCGCGGUAAAACGUAGGGUGCAAGCGUUGUCCGGAAUUACUGGGUGUAAAGGGAGCGCAGGCGGACCGGCAAGUUGGAAGUGAAAACUAUGGGCUUAACCCAUAAAUUGCUUUCAAAACUGCUGGCCUUGAGUAGUGCAGAGGUAGGUGGAAUUCCCGGUGUAGCGGUGGAAUGCGUAGAUAUCGGGAGGAACACCAGUGGCGAAGGCGACCUACUGGGCACCAACUGACGCUGAGGCUCGAAAGCAUGGGUAGCAAACAGGAUUAGAUACCCUGGUAGUCCAUGCCGUAAACGAUGAUUACUAGGUGUUGGAGGAUUGACCCCUUCAGUGCCGCAGUUAACACAAUAAGUAAUCCACCUGGGGAGUACGACCGCA
rnacentral:rRNA from 1 species